UCCUGCUUGCAAAUGUGCAGUAAAUCUUGUGUCCAGUAGGCAACUUACAGAGGGGAUGACAAUUCUCCAAGCUAAAGACAGUAUAUCCAAUUUUUUUAAUUCCCUGAUUCAGUAUCAAUUAUUGAAUUCAAAACUUGAAAGAAACCUAUGACUUCUUGUCCCUUAACCUUAAGGAAAAUGAUCAGAUACAGUGAGACUUUUCAGCUUUAUUAUGAGAAAGACCUUUUCAUUUCCAGGAAGGCUUGCAUUCAUGUUGACAGGGCAUACUUAGGGGGAGAAAAUCCCUAUGGCCCUGAGGAAGCCUGCUCUGAUGGGAUUACUCUUUCUGCCUAUCUACAAUACUCUCUUAUUUCUGGGACUUCUCAAGCAGGGAAUUCCAGCAAAUUUUGAAAAAUAAAGAGUUAAAGAUGGAGUAGGAAGUGGCCACUUUCUAAAAAAAAAAAAAAAAAAAUCAGGCAAAAAAAUGCCAUACUUCUUUCAGAAUCUUGAUCAAACAUAACUGAAGUUAGCAUUAUUCCCCCUAAAGAUUAUCUAUAAUUCCUCCUCCUGCAUUUUGGAGGAAGUUAAUAAUUUUCCAAAAAUCAAACCGCAUGUAUUUGAUGUUAACUAUUUAGGUCCAUACUUAGGAGGUGAGAAAAUAUCUAACAGGCUAACAGCAUUUGUUGGUCAUUUUUCAUGGAAUCUGCUCUCUUAGCUAUUCUUUCUUGAAAAGAUCAGGAAGAGCACAC